rnacentral:rRNA from 1 species
CACCCUGAUCCAGCCAUGCCGCGUGUGUGAAGAAGGCCUUCGGGUUGUAAAGCACUUUCAGCAGGGAGGAAGGCUUACUCUUAAUACGGGUGAGUACUUGACGUUACCUGCAGAAGAAGCACCGGCUAAYUUCGUGCCAGCAGCCGCGGUAAUACGAAAGGUGCAAGCGUUAAUCGGAAUUACUGGGCGUAAAGCGCGCGUAGGCGGUGUGUUAAGUCGGAUGUGAAAGCCCAGGGCUCAACCUUGGAAUUGCAUCCGAUACUGGCACGCUUGAGUGCAGUAGAGGGAGGUGGAAUUUCCKGUGUAGCGGUGAAAUGCGUAGAGRUCGGAAGGAACACCAGUGGCGAAGGCGGCCUCCUGGACYGACACUGACRCUSAGGUGCGAAAGCGUGGGGAGCAAACAGGAUUAGAUACCCUGGUAGUCCACGCUGUAAACGAUGUCUACUAGCCGUCGGGGUCCUUAGUGACUUUGGUGGCGCAGCUAACGCGAUAAGUAGACCGCCUGGGGAGUACGGCCGSAGGUUAAAACUCA